GAUGAACGCUGACAGAAUGCUUAACACAUGCAAGUCAACUUGAACUUCGGUUUGGGUGGCGGACGGGUGAGUAACGCGUAAAGAACUUGCCUCACAGUUAGGGACAACAUUUGGAAACGAAUGCUAAUACCUGAUAUUAUGAUUUUAGGGCAUCCUAGAAUUAUGAAAGCUAUAUGCGCUGUGAGAGAGCUUUGCGUCCCAUUAGCUAGUUGGAGAGGUAACGGCUCACCAAGGCGAUGAUGGGUAGCCGGCCUGAGAGGGUGAACGGCCACAAGGGGACUGAGACACGGCCCGUACUCCUACGGGAGGCAGCAGUGGGGAAUAUUGGACAAUGGACCAAGAGUCUGAUCCAGCAAUUCUGUGUGCACGAUGAAGUUUUUCGGAAUGUAAAGUGCUUUCAGUUGGGAAGAAAAAAAUGACGGUACCAACAGAAGAAGUGACGGCUAAAUACGUG
rnacentral:rRNA from 1 species